AACGAACGCUGGCGGCAGGCUUAACACAUGCAAGUCGAGCGCCCCGCAAGGGGAGCGGCAGACGGGUGAGUAACGCGUGGGAACGUACCCUUAUCUUCGGGAUAGCUCCGGGAAACUGGAAUUAAUACCGAAUGUGCCCUUUGGGGGGAAGGUUUAUCGGAUUAGGAUCGGCCCGCGUUGGAUUAGCUGGUUGGUGGGGUAAAGGCCUACCAAGGCGACGAUCCAUAGCUGGUCUGAGAGGAUGAUCAGCCACAUUGGGACUGAGACACGGCCCAAACUCCUACGGGAGGCAGCAGUGGGGAGUAUUAGGCGAUGGACGCAAGCCUGAUCCAGCCACGCCGCGUGAGUGAUGAAGGCCUUAGGGUUGUAAAGCUCUUUGACCCGAGAAGAUAAUGACGGUAUCCGGAGAAGAAGCCCCGGCUAACUUCGUG
rnacentral:rRNA from 1 species